UACGGAGGGUGCGAGCGUUGUCCGGAAUCACUGGGCGUAAAGGACGCGUAGGCGGCCUGAUAAGUAGGGGGUGAAAUCCUGCGGCUUAACCGCAGGGCUGCCUUCUAAACUGUCAGGCUCGAGCACAGUAGAGGCAGGUGGAAUUCCCGGUGUAGCGGUGGAAUGCGUAGAGAUCGGGAAGAACAUCAGUGGCGAAGGCGGCCUGCUGGGCUGUUGCUGACGCUGAGGCGCGACAGCGUGGGGAGCAAACAGG
rnacentral:rRNA from 1 species